UACAGAGGUCUCAAGCGUUGUUCGGAUUCAUUGGGCGUAAAGGGUGUGUAGGUGGCGCGCUAAGUCGGGUGUGAAAUUUCGGAGCUUAACUCCGAAACUGCAUUCGAUACUGGCGUGCUUGAGGACUGGAGAGGAGACUGGAAUUUACGGUGUAGCAGUGAAAUGCGUAGAUAUCGUAAGGAAGACCAGUGGCGAAGGCGACUCACUGGCCCGAUACUGACGCUGAGGCGCGAAAGCGUGGGGAGCAAACAGG
rnacentral:rRNA from 1 species